CUCAUGGCUUGGUCAAUCGAAUGAUUUUUAUUGACUUUAUUGAUAAAAUUGCGAACUCCUGUGGUGCGACUGAGCAAAGCCAAAGGAAAGUACAUUCCCUGACGAGAAGAAGUAUAGAAAAGAACACCCAUAUUCUACCAUAGUUAACGAAAAAGCUCUGCAUGCAGGAUGUUGCUGGAGUACCACUAUGACAGAUCACCUCAUUGCAUCUAUUAGGUGCUAGAAAAGCAAUGGAAUUUUUUGUGGAAGGACGAUCAAUCCAUGGAAGAAAGUUCUUAGAGAGUUUUUGCAUGUCAAUUCGAAAAGAAAGCCAUCUCAUUUUUUUGGAUUAAUAUUAAUUGAUAUUUCACCUAAAACCUAGAUGACUUCAUGCAGUGAAAGUGCUUGUUAGAAAUGUCAAAUCAAAAUAUAAAUCACUCUAAAUAAAAAGAGUAACUACACGUU